GGCUGCAUAUUUUGAUUACUUGGUUGUGGAUCGUACCAUUAUUCAGCCAACUCUGCCCAGGAUUCUUGUGUGGGAUGACAAUGCUAUACUUAAUUACAGUGGUGCUCAGUCAGCAACCAAAGACAUUCAGUUCAAGAGAGUUGAGGACACGCUGUUCAAUGAACACCAAAUGGACACUUCUACACUGCGUGGAUUUAAUGGGCCAGAUGUCACCAACGCUCCUCAUGAACCUGGAACGCACGGUGGCAAUUUUGCUACAAAUGUCCAAUAUGGUACACACAAUACCAAUGAGCAACACGAGGCAAAUUCCCCAAUGUCUCCACUUUUAAGGCCAACCAGCUCAGUUUGUGGCCAGAGUUGCACUGUUGAUCUUGAGU